rnacentral:rRNA from 1 species
AUUGAACGCUGGCGGCAGGCCUAACACAUGCAAGUCGAACGGUAACAGGAAGCAGCUUGCUGCUUUGCUGACGAGUGGCGGACGGGUGAGUAAUGUCUGGGAAACUGCCCGAUGGAGGGGGAUAACUACUGGAAACGGUAGCUAAUACCGCAUAACGUCGCAAGACCAAAGAGGGGGACCUUAGGGCCUCUUGCCAUCGGAUGUGCCCAGAUGGGAUUAGCUAGUAGGUGGGGUAACGGCUCACCUAGGCGACGAUCCCUAGCUGGUCUGAGAGGAUGACCAGCAACACUGGAACUGAGACACGGUCCAGACUCCUACGGGAGGCAGCAGUGGGGAAUAUUGCACAAUGGGCGCAAGCCUGAUGCAGCCAUGCCGCGUGUAUGAAGAAGGCCUUCGGGUUGUAAAGUACUUUCAGCGGGGAGGAAGGGAGUAAAGUUAAUACCUUUGCUCAUUGACGUUACCCGCAGAAGAAGCACCGGCUAACUCCGUG